ACCCCACCAUAUGGAUUUUUUUCCUUAAGAAAAUCUCCUUUUAGGAGAUCAUGGUGUCACAGUGUUUGGUUCUUUUGUUUUGUUUUUUAACACUUGUCUCCCCUCAUAUACAAAAGUACAAUAUGAAGCCUUCAUUUAAUCUCUGCAGUUCAUCUCAUUUCAAAUGUUUAUGGAAGAAGCACUUCAUUGAAAGUAGUGCUGUAAAUAUUCUGCCAUAGGAAUACUGUCUACAUGCUUUCUCAUUCAAGAAUUCGUCAUCACGCAUCACAGGCCGCGUCUUUGACGCACUUGCACUAUUACUCAGCAGCAGUAACAUGGUAACACUUAAAAUGGUACUCGGGGACCUCCAAAGACUAAACUGACAAGCCUUCAAGGAGCC
rnacentral:sRNA from 1 species